rnacentral:rRNA from 1 species
AGUAACGCGUGAGGAACCUGCCUCAAAGAGGGGGACAACAGUUGGAAACGACUGCUAAUACCGCAUAAGCCCACGGCUCGGCAUCGAGCAGAGGGAAAAGGAGCAAUCCGCUUUGAGAUGGCCUCGCGCCCGAUUAGCUAGUUGGUGAGGUAAUGGCCCACCAAGGCGACGAUCGGUAGCCGGACUGAGAGGUUGAACGGCCACAUUGGGACUGAGACACGGCCCAG